UACGUAGGGGGCUAGCGUUGUCCGGAAUCAUUGGGCGUAAAGCGUGCGUAGACGGUCAUGUAAGUCGGGUGUGAAAGCCCCGGGCUCAACCUGGGAAUUGCAUUCGAGACUGCAUGGCUAGGGUGCGGAAGAGGGAAGCGGAAUUUCCGGUGUAGCGGUGAAAUGCGUAGAUAUCGGAAGGAACACCAGUGGCGAAAGCGGCUUCCUGGUCCAGCACCGACGUCAGGCACGAAAGCGUGGGGAGCAAACAGGG
rnacentral:rRNA from 1 species